rnacentral:rRNA from 1 species
UGGGGAAUAUUGGGCAAUGGGGGAAACCCUGACCCAGCAACGCCGCGUGAGGGAUGAAGGUCCUCGGAUUGUAAACCUCUGUUCCUGGAGAAGAGAAGAAGACGGUAUCCAGGGAGGAAGCCCCGGCUAACUACGUGCCAGCAGCCGCGGUAAUACGUAGGGGGCAAGCGUUGUCCGGAAUAAUUGGGCGUAAAGGGCGCGUAGGCGGCAAGGCAAGUCAGCAGUGGAAGUUCCAUUUUCAAGGUGGGGAGGGCUGUUGAAACUGCGUUGCUUGAGUGCAGGAGAGGUUAUCGGAAUUCCCGGUGUAGCGGUGAAAUGCGUAGAGAUCGGGAGGAACACCAGUGGCGAAGGCGGGUAACUGGACAGCAACUGACGCUGAGGCGCGAAAGUGUGGGGAGCAAACAG